GACGAACGCUGGCGGCGUGCUUAACACAUGCAAGUCGAGCGGUAAGGCCCUUUCGGGGUACGACGAGCGGCGAACGGGUGAGUAACACGUGGGUGACCUGCCCUUACGCUCCUUGGGAGUAAAGACCUCGGGAAACGUAGGGUCGUAAUACCGGAUAUGACUCCAUGACGCAUGUUGUGGGGUGGAAAGCCUUGUGCGGCUAGGGAUGGCCCGCGGCCUAUCAGCUUGUUGGUGGGGUGAUGGCCUACCAAGGCGACGACGGGUAGCCGGCCUGAGAGGGCGACCGGCCACACUGGGAC
rnacentral:rRNA from 1 species